rnacentral:rRNA from 1 species
GACGGAGGAUGCAAGCGUUAUCCGGAAUGAUUGGGCGUAAAGCGUCCGCAGGUGGCAGUUCAAGUCUGCUGUCAAAGACCGGGGCUUAACUUCGGAAGGGCAGUGGAAACUGAACAGCUAGAGUAUGGUAGGGGCAGAGGGAAUUCCUGGUGUAGCGGUGAAAUGCGUAGAUAUCAGGAAGAACAUCGGUGGCGAAGGCGCUCUGCUGGACCAUAACUGACACUCAGGGACGAAAGCUAGGGGAGCGAAUGGG